AGGAGAGUGACCGAGUGGUCAAAAGCGGCAGACUGUAAAUCUGUUGAAGUUUUUCUACGUAGGUUCAAAUCCUGCCUCUCCCA
rfam:Nicotiana attenuata strain TT chromosome 7, whole genome shotgun sequence.